UACGUAGGUGACAAGCGUUGUCCGGAUUUACUGGGCGUAAAGAGCGCGCAGGCGGUCGUUCAAGUCGAGUGUGAAAGCCCCCGGCUCAACUGGGGAGGGUCACUCGAUACUGAUCGACUCGAAGGCAGGAGAGGGAAGUGGAAUUCCCGGUGUAGUGGUGAAAUGCGCAGAUAUCAGGAGGAACACCGGUGGCGAAGGCGGAUCUCUGGGCCGUUACCUGACGCUGAGGCGCGAAAGCGUGGGGAGCGAACAGG
rnacentral:rRNA from 1 species